CUUGUCGCUGGGUGGCGGGGCCGCACCUCUGGUCGUGCGGAUCAGGGCACGACCCCGCCGGUGGUUCAGAGCCCGGCCAGCGGGGC
rnacentral:tRNA from 1 species